rnacentral:pre_miRNA from 1 species
UUCAUCCAUUUGUACUAUUAGAAACUGGUGUGACUAAUGAAAUAAUCUAACAAUGACAGAUAGCAUACCGUUUGUACCUCAUACUAACGUACAAUGACCAAUUCUUAAUAAUUAAAAUGGAUGAA